CUUGGUCAUUUAGAGGAAGUAAAAGUCGUAACAAGGUUUCCGUAGGUGAACCUGCGGAAGGAUCAUUACCGAGUGCGGGCCCUCGCGGCCCAACCUCCCACCCUUGUCUCUCUACACCUGUUGCUUUGGCGGGCCCACCGGGGCCACCUGGUCGCCGGGGGACGCACGUCCCCGGGCCCGCGCCCGCCGAAGCGCUCUGUGAACCCUGAUGAAGAUGGGCUGUCUGAGUACGAUGAAAAUUGUCAAAACUUUCAACAAUGGAUCUCUUGGUUCCGGCAUCGAUGAAGAACGCAGCGAAAUGCGAUAAGUAAUGUGAAUUGCAGAAUUCCGUGAAUCAUCGAAUCUUUGAACGCACAUUGCGCCCCCUGGCAUUCCGGGGGGCAUGCCUGUCCGAGCGUCAUUUCUGCCCUCAAGCACGGCUUGUGUGUUGGGUGUGGUCCCCCCGGGGACCUGCCCGAAAGGCAGCGGCGACGUCCGUCUGGUCCUCGAGCGUAUGGGGCUCUGUCACUCGCUCGGGAAGGACCUGCGGGGGUUGGUCACCACCAUAUUUUACCACGGUUGACCUCGGAUCAGGUAGGAGUUACCCGCUGAACUUAAGCAUAUCAAUAAGCGGAGGA
rnacentral:rRNA from 1 species